UCUCUCAAUUCUUCUUCCAACUCUGCCUAUAGAUCGAUUCCUUCUUUAUCACUCUCCCGAUUCAUCUUCCACCUAACAACCACAACAAACCCAGUAAUUAGGAAUGGAUUAAAUGUCUCCGAGAAGGGGUUAGGGGAACUUUAAAGAUGAAGACAGAGAUGGGGUUACUGGUUGAUGGGAGGCUAUAAAACUUGAUUUGAACCAUGGAGCGUUGACGGAAGGCUAAAAAACUUGGGUUAAAUACCGUGGUCACCAGAUGCCUUUCGCGAAGAAUCGACGCAUCAAGUGGGCGGACGAGGACGUGGAUAAGAACUACAAGCCAGCCCUCGCCACAACGCCGUCAUCCAAUUCUGAUAAUCCCUCUCCUCUUGGAAAUCCCCACACCGCCGUAUUUGAUCGAGGGGACAAUCCACAGAUGGUGAAGCAAAGGUUGAGGUAGUGAGCUUAGGUGGUUGCUUAUGCUUAGAGUGAAGAGUGCGUUGUCGACGGCACAGAGCAAAAGGUGUGAGUGAUUGCAAGAAUGGGCCUUUUAAUCCCUUUCUUCUUCUUCCUCGUCGUCGUUCACUUGGGUAAAGAACGGAAAGCUGGGAAUUUUUCAAAGUGCAAAGGAAGAGAGAGCAGGAAGAUGAACAGUGCCGAGCGGAGGAGGAAAGGACACAUGUAAAGUAAGAGGUCAAAGUAAAAUUUAACAGUCAAACAUUGA